GGUGCUUAGCAACAUAAAAAGGGAGGAGGCAUGACUUGCAGGAAGUAUCAGACAGUGCACCCACCUCCUGACAGCCUACUGUCCUUCUUCUGCACAAAUACUUCACGUCCCCCCGGACGCCGCGCUGCAGGUGCCCCUGUUCUUUGGUGACUCACUAAGGAGGCAGCAAGAGAUCUCCCAUAUGCGAAGUGGUAGUCGGUGAACAAUCCGCAGGUGCAUGGCCCCAUCCUAUAACAACCCCUACUAUGGUGACAAGAUGGACCAGCUGGAGAGGAUGGAAGUACAUUCUGUUCACACUGUGCCAAGAACAGUUAUGUGACGUGAUCUGCCCAUUCAAGAAGAAAGAGCACACAGCAUCACACAGAGAUGAAGAGCUGUAAGAAGAAACAAGGAACCUGUGGAUAGGCCCAGCUCCCUCCAGCCAUAGUCAGCCCAGUAUAAGUCUAUGGGCUUUGAAGAAAAGUGGCAGGAGGCAUAUUGCCAUGGAGUUCCACAUUGCCACGGAUUGUCUUCACAAAGUUUCCAGAAGAACAUAGCAGAGAAUUCAAUCAUCCCCAAAACAGGAAAGUUCCAACUAAUCUUCUUUUUUAAAAUAAAUAAAUAAAUUCAUCAUUGUUAUUUUUAAUUUUACUGCUAUUUAUGUGGCA